GAGAGCACAGUAUGAUGAAAGUUGUAAGCUGUGUUUGGGGGGGAGUUAUUGUCUAUCGUUGGCCUCUAUGGUAGGAUCAGUCGGGGGACCUGAGAGGCGGUGGUUUACCCUGC
rnacentral:ncRNA from 1 species